rnacentral:tmRNA from 1 species
CCCCUCGAUUCCGGCGGGGCGGCACGCUAUAUGCCCCCUGUCACCUUCGGGGACUAUGGCGAUAAACGCCGUGUGGAAUAAGCGUUACGGACCCGGGGGCAGUGCCCGGCGUCUCCACCAAUUUCCCGCCCAGGAUCGUGGGGCGCGUGUGGGGACGAAACAGCUUCGACGUGCGCGGUAAAGACACGGUUUUUGCCCGGCAUUGUACCGCCGUUAUCGGGCUAAAUCACAAGUGCCAACGAUAACAGCCGUGAGGCUGUGGCGCUCGCUGCCUAAUAGGUAAGCGCGGUCCGGGGGGAACCGGGCAACAGAAUCCCCCCACU